GAGAACGUGGUGUAGAGGUUAGUACGUUUCAUUUGCAACCAACACUUGAAGCGGUCAGAAGUUCAACUCUCUUUGUCUCCA